rnacentral:lncRNA from 1 species
UCACCCGUGACCUUCCCUCCACCAAGGUGGGGUUUGGUCUCCUUAAGUGAAAAAUCUUCUUGUGGUGGUCUCUGCAUUUUCAGUGCUACUAGUUCUCACUCAAGUAAAAAUAAACACUGACCCAAAACCCUUCAACUUCUCUCAGAAAUAACUCAAGCUACAGUAGUGCUCAAGAAACCUCAAAUACACCAGAGUCUUAAGUAUGUUUAACCCUAAAUCUUUGUCAGUUGAAGAACUUAAGGGUUAAGAAAGGAUAGAAAAGACCUCACUAAGGAUAACCUGAAAAUGCCAAAACCAUUCACAACCUUAGAUCUGAUUCAUCUGAAUGCUUCAACCCUGCAUAACGUCAAAAAUCAAGAGAAAUAAGCUCAAAAACCAUACAAAAGCAACGCAAAAACAACAUUACAGCUCAAUCAAAAAAAGGCCGGUUCUCAGUUCUUCCUCACCCAUAAAAAAGAGAAAAUAAAUUACAACUUUUAAUGCUAAAAGUAAAACCACAUUACAGCUCAACAAAUACCAAGAAUGAAAACCAGCCAAG